UGCAGGUGAGCCAGGGGAGUGAUAACCAACACGCCGGGCCUGUGAACAUCACAUAUCUCUCCCUCAAUUGUGAUCCAGUUGUUACCCAACCAUCCUCUCGAGGUCGUCGUAGUCAGCGUUCAAACUGCCGAGCCUCCGACGAGUCACGAGAGGACGACAUCCGUUGUGGCCUGAGUCCUACAGAGAGAGAGAAAACCAAGCCCUGUGCCCGGGGUGUGACAACGAGAGCUUCGUUUGUACACAGAACAGACAGUGGUAGAACACAGUGAGUAGUAUCAAGUGUGUACCGUGCGGAUUGUGGGUCGUAACGGUGUGUGUACUGACCUCGUCAACAGAAGCUUGUGGUGAACGGAGCCUCGACGAAAGUUCGCCCCAGCUCGUGACCCCGGUCGUGGAAGAAGGAGGGGGAGUUUGGGAAGCGUUCGGCUCCGGUCAUCGGACUCACUAGUCCCUACGACGCCCGGACAGCCAUACUGGAAGGGCGAAGGAAUACGGUACACUGACACUGUAGCAAAAUCCACUGUAUGUAGCAACUAUCUACCUGAAACCAGUGAAGCUUUGUGUGGGAACGAGGAUCCCCCGGCACUUAACUACCUACCUGAAACCAGUGAAGCUUUGUGUGGGAACGAGGAUCCCCCGGCACU